UCAUUCCUUGUUAUUGUCAUUUACUUACUUUCACACCCACGAUGUCCCUUAUUUAUUAAGGCCUUUUUCCAAUUCUAAUUAGUAGUAUCAGUCAAUAUCUCUUCUUUUAAUAUACCCACGUUCCCUUUCCCAUAAAUCUCAUUAGUUCGAUCAUCGGUAACGUAAAUAUAAUUGCAGGCUUGCAGCUUGCGACAAAUCUAUAAAUAUUACUCAAGCACAUAUCCUCUUCACUUCAAAACCAGAAAAAAGAGUUCGAUCUCACUUUUUUUUCUACCCUUCAAAAGAUUAGCGACUAAGAUAGAAAAAAGAGUCUCGUGCAAAGAGUUCGUUACUGUUUCGUAGAAGCCUGCCUUGAUGUUAAUUGAUGAAUAUGAAAAAGAAAAGGUUUGGCUAGGAAGCUGGAGAUGAGUUUGAUAGAGUGGAAGAGAAGAUUUGUUUAAGAUAGCAAGGACAUUUAACCGAAGAGUUUAUGGGAGUUCUAUUCUCCUCUUUCUUUUUCUUUUCAAACUCAUUUCCUUAAUACUAUUUGUGAUGAAUUUAUAGGAGGGCUAUGGAUGUAUUGGGAUGGUUAAAAAAACAUUAAAAAAAAAAGGAGGUGGAAUUGAGAGGAUUUUGCAGAUAAUUUAGAGAAAAAAGAGGAUGUUACUGAUUUUAGAAGACAAUCAAGAGAAUAAAUGAAAUAGAAUAUUAACAAAAGAUAAAGUAUAAAUAACAGGAGGUGGCGAUUUGCAAAGGUUAUGAGGGAGGUGAUGCGUGAUUUGGCGACAAAAGAAGGGAAUGAAUGUAGCAAAACAGAAAAAAGAAAAAGGAAUAAGGAAAGGGAGAUAAAAUAAGGAAGGAGAGAAAAUUAGGAUUACAGAAUCUUCCUAUCUUGAUUCUAUCAUCCACUUCUAUUUGUGACUGAGAUUUGUGUUCUUUUGCAUUCCCUCAGUUUUGGGAAUUUAUUUACGGAGUAUUAUUACUUUCCUUAUUGUUGCUUUCCGUUUUGCCUUCUUUUGUUCUUAAAUUAAGGAAAUCUUUUAAAGUGUUAUAAAUAGAAUUCUAUUUAAGGUGAAUGUCUAUAUUUAGAGAGAUUCUAGGGUUUAUUGCUUGGUGGCUAAGUCAAUCUCUCCCUAUAAAUAUAGGCUAUUCUAUUGUAAUUCAUCACAUAUCAAUAAGAAUUCUCUUCUCUCUACUUUUCUCUGCCGUACUCUUCUUUUUCUUUUAUUAUUUCAUCUCACGUUAUUAGCACGAGAAUCUAACCAAUUGAGUAGAAGAUUUGGGAUUGAGCAUAAUGAUUGUCAAUUAUUCUAUAAACUUCCUUCCUGAUUAAAUUCUGGAUUUGAGGUAAGUAUUUUACUUUUCUCUUUCAAAUUCUUGACAUUCUAUAAUUUGAUAUUAAAUACAAGCAAAGACGAUAAAUUUUGAUUGCAACUUUAAUGGAGUUUGAAAGAUAUUAUAACCACCCAAAGUGGUAAAAUUUCUAUGUCUUGCCAUGAUCAAAUUCAUGUAUGAUAAUUGAUACAUUACGGAAUUCAAAUGAAUAAACAUUAAAGAACUAGAAAGUUCUUUACGAAUUCUUUACGGAAUUCAAAUGAAUAAACAUUAAAGAACUAGAAAGUUCUUUACGAAUUCUCCUAGGUUGCUUGUUCUCAUUAAUUAGUAGACCAACUAAAAUUGGGAUUGAAUCCCAUAAACGCUGGAAAUAUCAAAAGUGAAUAUGGGCUCAUUCACUUGCCAUGUAUACCACAUAAGAUGCAUUUAUGAGAUGGUUACAUGUGCAAUUAUUAUUAACUCGCAAUAUGAUAUUUUGCGAGGUAACUUGCUCAAUAGCAUAAUUUCCAGAUUUUCUAUUCAAGAAGUUCAUCUUGAUAAGUUGGUUUAUAUCACAGCUAGUUUAGCAAAAUAAUUUAUUGAGUGCCUCCACUUAAUAGCUAAAUUGUUGCUGAUAAGAACAAAGUUAUCUAUAUCAGUUUGAUAUAGGUCAUAUACGAAAGUAUAUUACAUUCUCCCCUCACAAGUGGUUCGGGGUCAGGAACCAAAUAAUUUCAUCUUAUUAUUAUUGAUGUGCGGUGUAUAUAUUGAUUAAGACCAUAACGCACAAAGAUGGGUUCCCAAAAUUGAGGAAGCAAGUUAGUUUUUCUAACAUGAGGUGGAGACAUGAUAAACGGUUGAGAAAAAGUUACGUUGAAUGAAUUAUCAUUUGUACAUUUAGAUCCUCGAAUAAGAUAAUAUGAACUUGAAGUUUAUAAAAGGAUAAUUCAUUUGCAAUAUAUUCCAAAGCAUGCCAUACGCUUUUGCUGACCCAAAGAAAGUAACUAUAUUCUCAUUGCAAAUGCUCAUAUUAAGUCCUAGAAGGACAAAGUCUAUAGUACGCUUAAAGCGUAUAGACAAAUCGGUUUCAAAUAAAACUUCUUGAUAAAGAAGAUGAGCAAAUGAUCAAACUGAUCAUAAUAAGGAGGCAAGUGAUCUAGAAGAUCCCAUUGGGUUUUAUUUAGUUAAGAUUUUAACGAGGCACAUUAUCUGUUGAAUAGACAUUCAAGGGGGAGUGUUAUAAAUAGAAUUCUAUUUAAGGUGAAUGUCUAUAUUUAGAGAGAUUCUAGGGUUUAUUGCUUGGUGGC
rnacentral:lncRNA from 1 species